rnacentral:rRNA from 1 species
GACGAACGCUGGCGGCGUGCUUAACACAUGCAAGUCGAACGGGAUUUAGUAAACAGAAACCUCGGUGGAAGAUUACUAAUGAGAGUGGCGAACGGGUGAGUAACGCGUGAGCAACCUGCCUAUGACAGUGGGAUAGCCUCGGGAAACCGGGAUUAAUACCGCAUAAAAUCGUAGAAACACAUGUUUUAACGGUCAAAGAUUUAUCGGUCAUAGAUGGGCUCGCGUCUGAUUAGCUAGUUGGUGAGAUAACAGCCCACCAAGGCGACGAUCAGUAGCCGGUCUGAGAGGAUGAACGGCCACAUUGGAACUGAGACACGGUCCAAACUCCUACGGGAGGCAGCAGUGGGGAAUAUUGCACAAUGGGGGAAACCCUGAUGCAGCGACGCCGCGUGAACGAAGAAGGUAUUCGUAUCGUAAAGUUCUGUCCUAUGGGAAGAUAAUGACAGUACCUUAGAAGAAAGCUCCGGCUAAAUACGUG